rnacentral:rRNA from 1 species
GGGCCGGAAAGUUGGUCAAACCCGGUCAUUUAGAGGAAGUAAAAGUCGUAACAAGGUCUCCGUAGGUGAACCUGCGGAGGGAUCAUUA